rnacentral:pre_miRNA from 1 species
UUUGUACUCCCUCCGUUCGGAAUUACUUGUCGCAGAAAUGGAUGUAUCUAGACGUAUUUUAGUUUUAGAUACAUCCAUUUCCGAGACAAGUAAUUCCGAAUGGAGGGAGUACCUU